rnacentral:rRNA from 1 species
UGCCUACGGGUGGCAGCAGUGGGGAGUAUUGGACAAUGGGGGCAACCCUGAUCCAGCAAUGCCGCGUGGGUGAUGAAGGCCUUCGGGUUGUAAAGCCCUUUCGGCGGGGACGAUGAUGACGGUACCCGCAGAAGAAGCCCCGGCUAACUUCGUGCCAGCAGCCGCGGUAAUACGAAGGGGGCUAGCGUUGUUCGGAAUGACUGGGCGUAAAGGGCGCGUAGGCGGCGCAUUUAGUCAGGCGUGAAAGCCCUGGGCUCAACCUAGGAAUUGCGUUUGAUACUGGUGCGCUGGAGUGCGGGAGAGGAUGGUGGAAUUCCCAGUGUAGAGGUGAAAUUCGUAGAUAUUGGGAAGAACACCGGUGGCGAAGGCGGCCAUCUGGACCGUUACUGACGCUGAGGCGCGAAAGCGUGGGGAGCAAACAGGAUUAGAUACCCGUGUAGUC